rnacentral:misc_RNA from 1 species
GAUGAAGAACGUAGCGAAAUGCGAUACGUAAUGUGAAUUGCAAAUUCAGUGAAUCAUCGAGUCUUUGAACGCACAUUGCGCCCCCUGGUAUUCCGGGGGGCAUGCCUGUCCGAGCGUCAUUGCUGCCCUCAAGCACGGCUUGUGUGUUGGGCCGUCGUCCCCCUCCUAGGGGACGGGCCCGAAAGGCAGCGGCGGCACCGCGUCCGGUCCUCGAGCGUAUGGGGCUUCGUCACCCGCUCCGUAGGCCCGGCCGGCGCUUGCCGACGACCAUCAAUCUCUUUCUCCAGGUUGACCUCGGAUCAGGUAGGGAUACCCGCUGAACUUAAGCAUAUCAAUAAGCGGAGGA